rnacentral:rRNA from 1 species
CUUUCGGGGGCUGGGCUUCGGCAUCUUUAACCGCCGGCCUGCCGGUUUUAGUAGUAGUGGGUAAUUUUUUUUAGAGUUGCCACCGUAGGUAGUCGAGGCGCCUGUCGUCUUCGGCUGCGCGUGUCCGUCGUCUCGGUCUGGUGCGCUCGCGUCGGUUUCCUUCCUUUUACCGGUGCCGGGAGAGGGAGCCGCCACGGCCGCGGCCGCGGCGGCCGGUGGAGGAGGCGUCCGCGGGGCGGAGGCACCGGUCCACGACGCGGCGCGGGGCGGCGUCGAGGGGGAGCGCGGCGGCCCGGGGCUGCGCCGCGGACCGGCGGAGCGCGCGCCUGCUGAGGAGCGGCCGCGGGAAGCUCUACUGCCACCUCCCGCGCGAGUUCGACGAGCCGCAGCGGCUCCCGCGGAGGAAGCUGCUCUAGGAGGCGCGGUUCUUCCGGCAGCAGCGGAGGACGUUCCUGCUGGGCCUGCGGCAGCGGGUCCAGCUCCAACGGAUACUGUACGACGAUUACGUCUCGAAUAGCGCGGCCUCCCGACCGUUCCAACAGCUAUCGUCGCAGGCGAUGCGGCUACACUUUGGACAGUUCUGACGUCCUUGUCGUGGCGUUACCUACGUCAGUCGGUACUUCUUGCACGGAGAGUGUAACCUCCGGGGUCGAAGCUCGUCGAACCCGUAGGUCAGUAGGUAAAUACCACGCGACUACCAAAAGUGUAUACGAUCACCUUGGAGAUGCAGAAAUGGUAGUCGCAUGUGAUCGGGACUACACGGACCUAAAUAGGAUCGUUGUCCUAAGCCACGAAGUAACAUAAAAGACAGGUUCUUUUUGUACUUGAAUCCAUUCCGGCGUAACUAGUGGCAGCCCCCCGACCGUCAGCCACGCUGCCAGCCCAGGCCGCACCUCUCGACCGACGUCCAACUGUAACACGGGAAGGACCCGUAGGUGAGGGGGCGCCAGCAGCAGUGGCUUAAGUAAGAGAAGAGCGUUAACAACCACAGCGACAAGCAAUCCAUCCCAGACACCCGUUCGAUUCGACAGUCGACCGGAACAUUGACUGACUUUUUACCACGUAGAAAAGGGGUCUUCUACGUUUUUCGUCGACACAUAUCGUUUUUGUCAUGAUGUCGCCCCUAGAUUCAGGGAACAUGAAGUUAGUAGUGAACAUAGAUCGGAAAAAGAGGUAACAGGUUGGGCUAAAGUAAACAGCCAAAGAAGCGGGAACAAACCUUUAACACCACACCUGACACUUCAAACAAAAGCUAUUUCC